GGGGACGUAGCUCAAUUGGUAGAGCGCCUGCUUUGCAAGCAGGAGGUCGUGGGUUCGAUUCCCAUCGUCUCCACCA
rnacentral:tRNA from 4 species